UUUAUCCGAGAUCUAGAUUCGAUCCAAGAUUCGAUCCGGAUCCGAUCCGAAAAUCCGGAUAGUAAAAUGUUGGAUCCGUCAAAACCGGAUCUGGAUAUGGAUAUCUUAAUUUUUUAGUAUAGAUAUCCCGAUCCGUAAUUUUUAAUAAUAACUAUUUCAAAAAUAGUAAUAUCUAUAUAUAAAAUUAAUUUUAUUUAAUAUAUUUUCAUUUUUAUAAUAGUAUAUAUAAAGUUUAUAUAAAUUUUUAAUAUUAUACAUAGAAAUAAUUGAAAACAUUAUAUAUUUUUUAAAAAUUAUUUUUAAUAUUUUAUAUAUAUUAUUAUUAUUUUUUUAUUUUUUUUAUUUUAAGGAUCCAAAUCCGGAUUCGUAUAUCCGCCGAAUAUUACAACUUUUAGAAGGAUAUCCGACACCCGAAUAUCCGAAAACCCCGGAUCCGGAUAAGGAUAGUAAAAUU
rnacentral:lncRNA from 1 species